CCUACGGGGGACAGCAGUGAGGAAUAUUGGUCAAUGGACGAGAGUCUGAACCAGCCAAGUAGCGUGAAGGAUGACUGCCCUAUGGGUUGUAAACUUCUUUUAUAUGGGAAUAAAAUGUUCCACGUGUGGGAUUUUGUAUGUACCAUAUGAAUAAGGAUCGGCUAACUCCGUGCCAGCAGCCGCGGUAAUACGGAGGAUCCGAGCGUGAUCCGGAUUUAUUGGGUUUAAAGGGUGCGUAGGUGGAUUGUUAAGUCAGUUGUGAAAGUUUGCGGCUCAACCGUAAAAUUGCAGUUGAAACUGGCAGUCUUGAGUACAGUAGAGGUGGGCGGAAUUCGUGGUGUAGCGGUGAAAUGCUUAGAUAUCACGAAGAACUCCGAUUGCGAAGGCAGUUCACUGGACUGCAACUGACACUGAGGCUCGAAAGUGUGGGUAUCAAACAGGAUUAGAUACCCGAGUAGUC
rnacentral:rRNA from 1 species